rnacentral:RNase_P_RNA from 2 species
GCAGUGUUAAUCUAGUGGAAGGGGCAUAGAAACAAGGCAGUUAUUGCCAUUUUCGCCUCGGGAAGGUCUGAGAUGAGGUCACGUAACAUUCUAGACGGACGGUAUUCUAAUGAUACGUACGAGAACCAGAAACAGCUUUACGUUCUCCAAACUUGCCGGGGACGCUUUCUUGAAAGCAGAGGCGACUGGAAACGAAAAGGUGGAAACUCGUAUGACCGGCGUUUUUAGUACAAUCCACAAGCCUGGUAAUUCAUACCUGGAACUCAAUUCAGACUAAUCUGAUACUGC